rnacentral:rRNA from 1 species
UUGCGGAUCAGGUAGGGAUACCCGCUGAACUUAAGCAUAUCAAUAAGCGGAGGAAAAGAAACCAACCGGGAUUGCCUCAGUAA